GGAAGCUGAGUACAGGGCAUCGUCCUGCUGGCCGCCUUUUAACGGAGGUAUGCCAGUUAAAAUGCCCCAAGAAUCCAGCAGAGUUUCCAGGGGAGGGGAGGCCGGGCUCUGUGAUCCGGAGACGAGGAGGAGCUCCGUCAAGUAAGAGGGACGAAUGUGUGAGUGUGCAGGACGUCUGCAUACACACACAUCUGUUCCAGUGCAUCUACACACACAUCUGUUCCAGUGCACGGCGGAGUCCAAAACGCCGACUCUUUUUCCAGACUUCAGAUUGGAACAAGGGUCUGUUUAUCGUGGUCGUCAAAUGACUCGUCAAUUAUUCGGCUUGUCGAUCGACUGACAAGGAAUCAAAGAAGUUCAGUCCUUUUUGAAGAAGAAAUAGCACACAUUUUCAGUGUCUAAAAUGUGAAAAAUGUCCUGCUUUUAUUUAUCUUACACGAUAUUAAAUGAAUGAUUUGGAGAUAUUAUGGACUGUUCAUCAACAAUAACACUAAUUUGAAGAAGUUACCGUGGGCUUCAAGGAAUUGCCCUGAACAUGUCUCCCAUUUAAUAAACACAAAGAUUAAUAGUUAAUAAUGACAAUGACUAAGUAUUAUAUAAGUUACAGACCUGCUCUUUUUAAAUAUAUGAGCAUUACAUUUAAAAACACCCUAUCACUUUCCCAAUGUGUCUCUUUGGUAUUGCUGUCCACAAGGUUACAAUGUAUACAUAUUUAUUUGGGUCUAUACAUUUGUGUAAUUGUGCAUAUAAUAUAGCACUGAAAUGCAGAUAUUUGUCAUAUUUUGCUCUGACCACAUGACAUUGCCAUGUGGACGACUAUCUGCUGACCUCUCUGACCUCUGAAAUAGGAGAACUUGUCAGUGUGGUGCACAGCUAACUCCCUAUCCGUCCGAUCAGUCCUAUGGUUUAAUUAAUUUUCAGUAAAAUAAUCCGCCACGUUUUUUAAGAACAAAAAUAACCGUCCCGUUGCCGUUUUUUCAUUCAAACAUUUGGAGUGAAGAAAAAGUGAGAGUGAGCACAAAGCAGCCCUUCAGAGUGUGGAGGUGCAGGGAGGUGCUGCAGGGAGGCGGUUGGACCCGACAGAGCUGCCCCAGUUCAGUGAGGGAUGAACACAAACAUCCAGUAAAGACCAACACAUAAUAUAUUUAGAUUUAAUCUGUUUGUGGUAUAUUUUGUUCUAGACGGGACCUUUUUUUUUUUUACCCGGCCAGUUUAAAGGCCUACAAAUAUCAACAAUUAGUGCUAACACACACAUUGUAAAACAUUGUGAUAAGUGUGUGUACGUGUCUUGUAGCUACAGGGUUGUACAAGUGCAAAAGGGGGGAAAAGUUCUUUAAAAAAUCCUUAAGUGGCUCCAGAGGGAGCAGCGUGAAGUCAAGUGAAAGUUAAAAUGAUACCAUCCUUAUCCUCUUCAGAGCAACAGAUGCUACGCUGCAUUGUACCCAUACGAGAAGGCAGCGUGCCACACGGACAUGCGAGGAAGACGAGGAUGAGACGGGUCAACAUAAACCUGCACGCCACCUCGUUCUGCGUAACGCUCUCAUUCAAAGGCUCACAGCCACGGCACUGUUCACCCUGGAGCCCGUCACCACUGUCCAGCUGUGCCGGCUCACGUGUUCUGGUCACGCAGUUCACUGACGGUAACCGACGGGAUGAAGGUUUUCAAAGAGAUCGAGUAGAUCCUCAACCUAUAGGUGGUGUCUUUAAGAAGACACCACCUUCCACGUACAUGCAUACACACAUACAUAUCAAUCUGCCCUCAUCUAUGUAUUUUGUUUCUUUGAUUUCAAAAAGGCUCAGAUACACACACACACACACACGUUCUCUAAUACUCUGGCUUUAUGAUGUUUUGUCCACUGUUUUGUCAUCCUCUAGGAGGUGUUAUGUCUAUGUAUUGUCUUUUCUCUUAUAAUAAAAAAAAAAUGUACCUCCUGUU